CUCCGCCGGCCGGCCGGUUCCCCCGCUGCCGGUACUCACUCACCCGGCUGCCCAGGCUCAUGGGGGAGAACGACGACGGCGGCGGCGAGGAGGAGGAGGAGGAGGAAGGCGAAAGCCUCGGCCUCGCCUCCUUCGCCUCCUGAGGGAAUGGCGAGGAAGAAGCGGGGAAACCGACGCGCCGACUCGGCCCGGCCUGGGCGCCCGCGGAAGAUUCUCUCGGCCCGGCCGCGGCCACGGCCAUGACUGGAAUCUUCACCAGUGCUUCCUCAAACUGCAAUCCUGUGAAUGUCUAUUCUGAACUGACUUUGAAAAUACUCUCGGGGAACAUUUUGUUGUUUGCACAGGAAAGCACUCAAACAAUCCUCAUUUGCCUAUGCCCUGGAAUCAGGGCUCCGGAUCCUUCUGCCACCGAGAAAGGUUGCGUCACGAUGAUGUCAUGGCUCCAGCUACUACGUUUUGACCUUGAACACCCUGUUUCAGGAACAGAGACAACACUCCCUCACACCCCAACACCCUUUUUUAAAAAAAACAAGAUGUGAUGAUCUUGGUGUGUGAUGGUGGGAAUCAAGGAGCAUUCUUAAAAAGUCACGCAAAUAUAUAUGCUUUUUGUAAUCCUGCCCAGUACGUCUUCCCAGUGCUUCAGUGCUGGUGGUGGGAUAGCUGUAAUGUUACAUACACCACUAUGCACAAUAUUUUCUAACCGCUUCUCACUCAGCCUUGAAUGUGCCUUGGCAGGUCCUACAAUUGAAAGGCCACCUGAAAGUGGAAACCAAUCCACCCUCCCCACCAUUAUAUUUCAUUAACAAAAUAAUCAGAAGUACAGCUUCUUUGCUCGCUACUAGCCUCAUUACUAUGACACCUUGCACGUAGGUAUGUGGAUUUUAAAGCCAUUUCCUAGGUUAUUUUACUCUGUUUUAUUAAAUAGCUGCAAAAGCAGGGUGCCUAUGUAUAGAGGAUGGUCUCUAUUUGAAAGCUCUUCCGUUCAAGUCUAGUUCAAAACUAAAAGCUACUAAAAGCCAAGAGAGGAAGGAUCUUGAUGUUACUCAUCACCACUUAGCCCCUGGACAGUAACAGAAUAAGCAAGCACCCAUGUCACCUAGCCAUGGUUUUCUCUCCAAAGGCCAGAUAUAGUGUUGUUGUUUUUAAAAUUUGAAUUCUAGUCAUUGUAUCUAAUGUUGCUUAGGUACUACAAAAUUAUCUUUAUUUUAUGAAAAGUUCUCUUCUCUCAUUCUCUCUCUCUCUUUUUGGUGAUGCACAAUUGGCAGUCCUAUUUCAAAACUGUAACAACUCCCCCCCCCCCAAUUUUUCCCUUAAUCCAUCUGCUUGUUCAGUUUGGGUGAGGGAGUCAGAAGGCAUAUAUCUACUUACCAUGGCUGCAGCCACCUUGCAGUGCCUUGAAUCUCAUGUUGGCUUCCUAAGAGGUUAAAAAAAAAAAGAAAUUAUCUGAAGGAUAAUUGACUUGCUGAAUUUUAAAACAAUCACCCAGCACAGAUGAAAAGGUCAAGCAGAAGACUGCUGGUCAAAAAUAGAAGUGAUCUGCAGAGGAGAGGAAAGUUCAACAGCUCUGACAGGAGCCCUGGCUCUACUACAGCUGCUCUACCAGCAAUAAUACUUCAUCCUGAUCUUUAAAUGAGGGGAGGGAGCCGGCCUUCAGCCGAUGUGUGGCUCUUCCCAAAGGCCCCGCCCAGUUCUUUCAAUGAAGCAAACUCACCAAUCCCCAAAGCCACUGGAAAUGAAUGGGUAGAAGCUGCAGGUUUCAAAACAGUCAGAGAUGCCGGGUGAGCUGCACCAAUCCAUCCAUGGCUAUUUAUUUUGCUAUGGGCUUUUCACUGAGAUGAAAUGAAACGCAGGGCAGGCAGCCUUUCUUGGACUCCGGUUUUCUUCAGCUCCAGCUCCCCAAACCCCCCAAGAUAGGACCUUUCCGAGCUCUGAUGGAGUCUCACUAACUAAGGGGAAAUGAGAUGUUUCUUUAGUUGUUAUCAUUUGCCCUAAAGUUUUCUGUGCUAACUUUCCCUAAAUUCCCUGGGAUUUUAGAGCCCAAAUUUGUGACCAGAGGAUGGGCUUUUGUGGAGUAACAGAGGGUGGGCGCUUGCCAUGCCAGCUGCAGCUGCCACUGUUCCUGCUGGGACUUACCAUUUCCACCAGGGCUGGCAUCCUGCAUGGCCUUGCCUACCUCAUCUUUUACACACAGGAGGUUUUUUUCAGACCCUCUCCUGUUGCUGGCGAUGGCAGAAAAUUCCUUCCUUAGCCAGGCCCGGCACCACUGCUGCUAGCAAGACUUCUUCAACAAGGUGGCUUGCAAGCUGCAAUGCUGGGGCUCCAUUCCCUGACUUGCUCCAAAUGGCAUGACCAGCCCAAAUGCUCACACGCACCACAGAUUUCUCCCCAGUCCCUUCCCCUCAUGUCUGGCUUUGCGCUGUGCCAACAUGAGCAAGCACAGCGCGCAUACUAACCCCUUUGCAAUAAGCGAGUGACUAAAAUCCUGUUGCACAGCUCUGCUGGCCCAGUGGUGAAGACAUCCUAAUCAGUUACAAAUCAUCACUGAUGAAAGGCAAGUCACUGCUAAUUAAAGAUUAUUUUGGGGCACAUGCGAGGAAAGGUGAUGGGGUUGGUGCCCAGGAUCCAAACCCCCCACUAACUCUGGGAUUUUCCCCCCCUACUUGGAAAGCUGGGAGAGCCUAGCCGUUGUCUGAGACUUCAGAUGUUGCUUUAAGAUCUGGCCCCUUUACGUCUAGAUGAUGGUGAAAUACUGUGCGCAGAGCUGCCUUUGAGAGGUAAUUUUGACAUACAGCUACUGCAGAACACAGUGUAAGCAAGUCCUAUACGUAUCUACCCCAACUGGUUUUUUACUUUCAUUUUCACCAGUGCAGCGUAUUGUUGGGUUGAUUUGAUUGUGGAUGUCAGCUUGACCUCCCCGACCCCGAAACACUUUUUCUUUUAAAACCUUAACACUCUUUUAAAAAUCAAAGGAGCCUUGCUCCUUCUCUGCUUCUCACUUCCAGUGUACGUGCUGCAUCAGAGUCAUGCUGUCCUCUCAGGUUGACGGCAUUUGCUACAGCACUUGGGCCUCUCUUCUGAACAUUGUGUUGUCCCACACAAGGACCGCUCCCCUUCCAACUGGUCUUCACAAUGAGUUGUUGUAACAAGCAAUUAAGGGGCUGUACACAGAACGCUGAGCCACUCCAGCAGGCCUUGAGAAAAGCUGCACACACAAAGCAAACAUGACCUCAAAGGAUUGCUUUAUCCAAAACAAGCCCUGUGGAAAACCCAUCUCACUCCAGCCAUCUCAGCUUCUUUUCUUUCUCGUGCCCCUUUUUAAAGCAGGGCAGCACAAUUUUCUCUUGGAAGAUCCCCACCUCCCCACUUGAAGGCCCGCCCAAUCCAAAACUGGUUCAGAGGUGAAGAGCCAGAAGGAGGGUGAUGAGAGACUGAAGUUGCCCAUCAUCCACCAUGAGCAGCACAGGUAGCAGCCAGUGUACACUGGUCAUCAGCUCCCAGACUUCUCCCCUUGAGUGACAUGCACUGUAACUCUGUUCAAAAAGGACCUUAAUUUCGUAGCUGUACACCUAUAUUUGCUUAUGCUGUUUUCUGCAGCUUAGUGCUCCCUUCUUCUCCAUUUUGGGAAGGUGUCAGAGACAACCCUAUUCUAUCCAGUAGAUUCAUGACCAAGUCCUAUCUGGGGAGAUGUGCUGCUAGGGCCUAGCCAGGCUGAUCUGUUCCCAUGCAUUCCCACUUAACACUCUGCUUGAUCUAGGUGCAGUCCUGAACCUGUAAUCACUGCUCCUCAAACCCAGCACCUUCCAGAGGAAAUGGGCUACAUGUCCAUGAGUGCAACUGGCAUGCAAGAUGGUUGGUUUAAUUCUAUGAGUUGUUCUCCUGCUUUGUUCCUGUCCCCUAGACCUGUAGCUCUCAACCUUGGAUAACCCAGAUGUUCUUGGACUGCAGCUUCCAGAAGCCUUUACCACUAGCUGUGCACCUGGGUUACCUCAGGUUGGGAACCACUGCCUUAGAUCAAAUUAUCUAAAAAUGCUUAUAAACAUAGCUGACUGGAAUGCAAAAGUAGGAAGCAAAGCCAAACCAAAUGUUAUUGGAAGACACAGCUAGCUAAUGGAAUACUUUAUACUCCACCCCAAACCCCAUUCCCUUCUGUAACAGGGAUUGCUAACCCCUCCAGGGCCACUGUACACCAUGGGGACAAGCUGUGAUUCGCAGGCAGAAGUCCAUAGGUGGUAUGUUCUCCUCACUCAUUAAAAGGGAUCACAUUACUUAUUGCAUUCCCUGCUUGUUACAUCUCUGACCCACAAAUGACCCACUUUUAAAAAUAGAUGUAACGUUUUCAUUGCAGCAACCAGAUGCUUGUGAUUAUGUUACAUAUGAUUUGUGUAGUAGGGAAACAUUAGAACAGAGGAUUCAUUCUUUUCCUUUUCAACAAAGUUGCCGUAGUUUACCAAAAACAUCUAACUCCAAAACAUGGUGGUUUCACUUUCUCUUUAUUCUGUUUUUUGCUAUUUGUUUGCAUAGUCAAGGGCAGUGGUUCCCAGCCUUGGGUCCUCAGAUGUUCUUGGGCUACAACUCCAGGAAACCCUGGCCAGCACAUUUAAUGGUGAAGACUUCUGGGAGUUUUGGUCCAGGAACCCAAGGUUGGGAACCACUGACCUAGGGGAAGGGGAUUAACUAACCCAUAAUCGGUGUGUAUCUUGGAAAUAUGGAGCUGCUAGAAUUUGAGCAGGGAUGCUAUACGCCUUCCCAGAGGAGGGAAGAGUAUGGCCAGUGGAGGAGGGGUGGGCUUGCUGGAGAGACGGGCCCGGCUGCUAACCAGCUCCCAGGCCUUCUCCCUGAUGUUUCUGAAAACCUUAGGCCACAUUCAGACAGGACAGCUCUUUGAACGGAGGAAGACUCCAAAGAGAGAACUGUCCGCUGUAAAGCAGAGCACACGGCCCCACUACCUGCACACGGGGUGUCAAGGGCUCCCAUUCCAUGGAGGUGUGACAAACCCAGACCUACUGGGAUAUGUCACACAGUUACACUAAGCUGCCACCAACCAUUCCCUUUAAGAAGUCACACAGACCAGGGAUGGAUUUUUAAACAAUAAAAAGAAUAAGGUUUAUUUAAAUACA
rnacentral:lncRNA from 1 species